rnacentral:rRNA from 1 species
CGCACGGGUGCGUAACGCGUAUGCAACCUACCUCCAACUGGGGAAUAGCCCUGGGAAACCGGGAUUAACACCGCAUAAGAUGGUAGAACCGCAUGGUUCAGCCAUUAAAGUUUACGGUUGGAGAUGGGCAUGCGUGCCAUUAGCUAGUUGGCGGGGUAAUAGCCCACCAAGGCAACGAUGGCUAGGGGGUCUGAGAGGAUGAUCCCCCACACUGGUACUGAGAUACGGACCAGACUCCUACGGGAGGCAGCAGUAGGGAAUAUUGGUCAAUGGACGCAAGUCUGAACCAGCCAUGCCGCGUGCAGGAUGAAGGCGCUCUGCGUUGUAAACUGCUUUUGUACGGGAAGAAUAUAUCGUUUGCGAACGGUUUUGACGGUACCGUAAGAAUAAGGAUCGGCUAACUACGUGCCAGCAGCCGCGGUAAUACGUAGGAUCCAAGCGUUGUCCGGAUUUAUUGGGUUUAAAGGGUGCGCAGGCGGCCUGAUAAGUCAGUGGUGAAAGCCCGUUGCUUAACAACGGAACUGCCAUUGAUACUGUCGGGCUUGAGUACAGUUGAGGUUGGCGGAAUGUAUCAUGUAGCGGUGAAAUGCUUAGAUAUGAUACAGAACACCGAUUGCGAAGGCAGCUGACUAAGCUGUUACUGACGCUCAGGCACGAAAGCGUGGGGAUCAAACAGGAUUAGAUACCCUGGUAGUCCACGCCGUAAACGUUGAUAACUCGAUGUUGGCGAUAUACUGUCAGCGUCUUAGCGAAAGCGUUAAGUUAUCCACCUGGGGAGUACGCCGGCAACGGUGAAACUCAAAGGAAUUGACGGGGGCCCGCACAAGCGGUGGAGCAUGUGGUUUAAUUCGAUGAUACGCGAGGAACCUUACCUGGGCUUAAAUGGGAUUGGACAGUUGCAGAAAUGCGAUCUCCCUUCGGGGCUGAUUUCAAGGUGCUGCAUGGCUGUCGACAGAUCGU